CCCAGUUACAUCCUGCUGAGCACAAAUCUCCUCUCAAUAUGACCUACAACUGCUGCUCUAAAAAUGACUCUCCCUCCCUUAGGUGCUGCUGCCCACCUCGGGAACCUGCUGUGGCUCUUCCUGCUCCAGCUACCUGGUCUACACCACUACCAGAUGAUUCUCCCAGCACCUGCCAGCUGGACUCUUCUCUGCACGGUGGCUGCCAGGAGACCUACAUUGAGCCCACCAGCUGCCAGAUGCCCUGCUAUUACUUCAGGAGCUUCACACCCUGCAGUCCUUGCCAGGAGACAUAUGCUAGCUCUCUGGGCUUUGGGUCCAGCAGCUAUCACCCCCUAGGCUAUGGAUCUAGAAGCUUUUUCCCAGGGAGCUGUGGAUUCAGUGGCUUCAGAUCACUGAAUUAUGAAGUCCCUGUUUUCCCUCCUCUGACUUGUACAUCCACACUCUGCUACCCAAUCUACAUGCUUUUCAAUAGCAACCAACCUUCAUUCUGUGUUCCAACAUGUGGACCACAUCUCUCUGAAAUCAGCUGUUAACUACCUACAUUCUACAGUAUUGAAGUCGGUGUCUCUACACCCUAUACUCUUGUUUUCUUGCUUUUCACUUACAGCUAUCCUCUUUCUUCUAAUAAGAACUUCUCAACUUCUGGUGGAACCUGGGAGGAGGGUAAAAUCACAAAUUAUGAAAUUCUGGCAGUAAUGCUGACAUAUGUAUGUGCUCUUUGGUUGUUAUCCAACAGCAGGCGAUGACCAAAAAUUUAUCAUAAUAAACUUGUGCAACCUGA